GGGGUCGUAGUCGAGCUUGGUCUAAGAUUCACGCCCGGGGCGCGUGAGAACCUGGGUUCAAAUCCCAGCGGCCCCACCA
rnacentral:tRNA from 1 species